GUCACAUCUGCUCAGAAUCCCAGUCUAGCUGACUGCUGGGGCAGGAUGCGGGCCCCAGCACUGCUUCUGGUUGUCUUGGCUCCUGUCAUGCAGGUAUCUUCCAACUUGAUGUUAAUCACUAGCAAGACUGGGGAGACUGCUUCGUUCCCUUGUGAUCUUACACGAAGGGCCACCUAUAUCCACUUGUACAAACAUGAGGAGGGGAUGGCCCCCCGACGCCUUUUAUACUACCACAGCUACAACUCAAAGCCUGUGCUUGAAUCAGGAAUCAGUGGAACAAAAUACCAUGUCUAUAAGGGCACAGGGAGGAGCUAUACAUUUGCAAUCCAAAAUCUGCAAGCAAGUGAUUCCGGCAUAUACUACUGUGCUAUCUGGGAUAGGAAUAAUUACAUAAAAAACUUCAAUGUUGGAGCAAAACUCAUUGUCACAGAGAGAAACCUUGCUGCAGACACUUCCCCCAAGCCCACUGUUUUUCUUCCUUCAAUUGCUGAAAUCAACCAUGAUAAUGCUGGAACAUAUCUUUGUCUCCUGGAGAACUUUUUCCCUGAUGUUAUUACAGUGUCUUGGAGAGUAAAAAAUGACAAAAGAGCUCUGCCAUCCCAGCAGGGAAACACCAUGAAGACCAAGGACACAUACAUGAAGCUCAGCUGGCCUGACCUUCUCCUAGGUGCCCUGCAGCUGCAGCUCACGACCACCUCUGCCUAUUACACCUACCUCUUACUCCUCCUCCUGAGCGCAGUCUACUUUGUUGUCAUCAUUUCCUGUGUGUUUAGGAGAACAGGCGUCUGCUGUGACGGGAAGAUCUCGUGACGGGGGGUGGCUACCGAGAGGUCAACUUUCCUUCGCCAUCUACAGUCCCAGAAAUUCUCUGCUUGCCUUUUGGUUUGGGUUAUCUCAGUUCAGAUGUGUAUUUAUCUCUGAUGUCAUAAUUGUCCCACCCCCAAGUCCUUUCAACUCCUGAGCGCACACUGUGGGCAGCUCCCUGUCUCCUCCCUCAGCACCUCCACCCAGACCACAACCCUGACCCUCCCUGUCACACACCCUGGAGAAGUCAGCUUUGCUGCUCGAAUUCUGUACUUAGAUUUUCAUAACAUGCACAAUAAAUACAAAAGAAU